GUUGUUUGUGUGUGUUUCCAACUCGUUGGAAAAACAAGCAGAGUAGAAACUGACUACUCUUUAUUUGAUUGAUGUAGCUGGCAAGCAGGAUCAGAUGUUGACAGGUGUCCCAGCAUGGUCAGACUGGGAAGACCAGUCUAGUUAGCAGUGAAUGGAUACAAAGUUCCAUCUUGAUUUGAUGGGAUCAGAUGGUGACAGUGGCCUCAGCAGGGACAGGCAACCAAGGAAGUCCAGUCUGUGACGGCGCUGAGAAGAAAUUUUGCAGAUGCAACACUUUAUUCACUCUUUGCAGCAAACACUGGACUUAAAAGAUUGAAACUAUUUUAAAGCAGUCUGACAAAACUCUUAAGUUGAUUUCCAAACUGUAUCAAGGGUUAAUAGAGGCUUUUCCCAAUGUCGCAAAACAUUUUAUAACAAAAAUGUGAGGAAGACCUGGGAGAGACUAUUGAUGAUGAUGACUAGAUAUAGAUAUGUUACAAUUUUCAGUCAUGUUCAUAUUAUCUCAGACAUAAAUUACUGCAGUUUAAGACUAUGCAUAGAAACUGAAUAUCAGGCACUCAGAAAUGUAAUUCCUCUGCUGGAGGUCUAAAACACAAAUGUGGACAUACUUGCAUCUCUUAUGAAGGCUGGCUGAAUUCAGGCGAAGUGUAUGUUCUUUUAUCUCAGCAUGUCUACAGGUUCUCCCUUCUCACAGUUUUUGUUUGCUUGGAAAUGUUGAUACUGGAGACUGUUAUCAGAAGAAACUGUGUAACCUAGUAUUUAUAGUGGCUAAGAAAUGCAUUGCCAUUAAUUGGAAGGCUGGUUAUCCUCCCACAGUCACAAUGGAUGGCAGAAAUGUCAAGUUAUGUAUCACUAGAUUUGAUUUAUUAAAGAAUUAAGGGUAUCCUGUGCAACUUUCAUAAGGUAUACCUUAUAUGGAAUACUGUACGACAAAAGGAGUCUAUUGUAUUGAAAACAUGCCCACGUCAGGGAGAUACCUAUUUACGCAAUCCCUAGCUGCUGGGCUGCUCAGUCCUGGCCCUGGGGGUCUUCCGUACUGCUGGUUCUCACUCUGGCCUUGGCCUAACACACCUAAAACCAAUAAUGAAUAUUUCACUAAGAUCCUAAAGCUGAGUGGGGUGUGUUGGGUUGUGGCGCUACAGGGCGGUGGACCUCUAGGUGUAGAACGGGGCAAACCAGCUGUGUGCAAGUAAAAAGGGCCUUACAGUACUAUUAUGCCUAUGACAUGAAUUAUACUGCCCACUGUAAUUAUUGGGACGGUGAAGCAUGUUUCUUCUUUUGGCUCUAUACUCCACAAGUUUGAAUUUGAAAUCAAACAAAUGUCAUAGCUCCAAGACAUGCUAAGCUCUCACCAUUACAAUAACAGGGGAGGCUAGCAUUUGUAUAUGUGUGCGUCAAUAACGUUUUCACUCAUCAUUAUUCAUGAUUCAUUCAGGAUUAUCAAUAAUCAUGGUAGCAUCCACAUUCAUGUAGAAGUGUUCAGAAACAUAUUGUUAUUUACAGUAAAAGUGACCACAAAAUUAACAUAAUCGUAUUAGAUUCUGUAGAAAUGCAAGAAAUGAGCUUUAGAUGACCCAAAAAAUUCUGAGGGAGGACCCCCAGACAGGUUAUGUCUCCCUCCCCACUUCUAAAACCAAAGUUGUGCCCCUGGAAAUAAGUGUUCUUAUAUUUAUUUCUCAUCUGGUCAUAUUAAUCCAACUCCACGAUAAAACCGAAGUAGCCUGCCAGGCAUAAUUGAAAAACGGUCCUGCGGGAAAGCGAGCAGCCUCCAUUCGCUAUUGAAGUGCAUACAGCUGACCUGUCUUUUUUCCCCUACCCCUGUUCUUGCCCAUUAAAAAUGCCCAAUUCUAUAUCAAACUACUUUUACAUUUAAGUAAAUACUAUAUUUAAUUGAGAAUGAUGGGUGAAGGAACAGAGCACAAGCUUUUUCUGCAGCUUUCUCAAAUCAUCCAUAGCCUAUAGUCAGUCGCUCCAUGCAGCCCAUACAUGUUUUGAUUUCUAAGACAUGCAAAGGUUUGUGUCAUUUACAACUAAAGUUGCCAAAUAACUCUAAAUCUAUCGUACACGACCAAAUUAUCAUUUUUACCCUCAACAUAGCCACUUUAUAUGCGCACCUGCCCUGGAAUGGGAAAAAUGGCCUUUCUAUUUUAUUCAGCUAAAUUUCAUUAUAUCCUUCUUACUAUAAAAUCACAUAAUAUAAAAUAAUGGCACGGGACUUAAGAAUAUAUUGUCAGUUAAUUAACAAGCCUACAGCCUAUGGCAUGGAGCAUAGCCAGAUAACAUACAGUAGGCCAACUCAUUCUGUUCUUCUGAAAUACAUUUUCUUCAUUUCAUAAUGUUUCUUUAGACCUGUCUGAAAUAAAUAAUGGAUUUAUUGUGAUGGUGUUUAUUCAAUUCAUUUAUUAUACUUUUUUUUUAACAUGUAGAUGUUCCAAGGGCGUUAUCAGUGGCUUGUAUGCAGCUCCUAUGCGUGGAGGCCUGAAGAUACUAAACCAUGUUAAUGUUUAAUUAAUGGUCAAUUACUGUGAGACCGGAAGACUUUUGCAUGACCCCAACAGCUCAUGCAUGGGUAUAAGCCUGUGUAGGAGGAUUGUGCUGACAUUAUGAAGUAACAUACGUCCCAGUCAGAUAUUUUACAUGAAUAUUCACAGACGCACUGUAUAUACAGACUCAUGCAUACUGUAGUGUAUCUCGGACCUGCCUGGUGUGUUCCUUGUUCUUCAUGAUGCUCUCUGCGCUUUUAACGGACCU